rnacentral:rRNA from 1 species
AGCGGCGAACGGGUGAGGAACACGUGAGCAACCUGCCCCUAACUCUGGGAUAACGCUUCGAAAGGAGUGCUAAUACCGGAUACGAUCUACGGAUGAAAGCGGGGGAUCGCAAGACCUCGCGCGAUUGGAGCGGCCGAUAUCAGAUUAGGUUGUUGGUGAGGUAAAAGCUCACCAAGCCGACGAUCUGUAGCUGGUCUGAGAGGACGACCAGCCACACUGGAACUGAGACACGGUCCAGACUCC